rnacentral:lncRNA from 1 species
ACUCUCAGCCAAUAUUAUUUCCAACAUCAUGGAUAACUAUUUUGCAGAAAUUAGUUCAUCUCCCUGCUUUGCAAACCAACCUUCUCCAUAAAAAUUAUCCAUAUUUAGUAAGACGACGUGCUCACCUUCUCCCACAAACACAUCAAAGAAAUGCAUCUACAUGUAAAAUGACGUGCACAGAACAUCCACUGAACACUGGCAGAAGAACUUAAACCUCCAAAAAGGGCAAGAAACCCUUGAUAUAACUGGGUAGAAAAAAAGAAAAAAAGAGAGAGAGAAAAGGAAUCAGGACGGGACUAGCACUCCCAAGAGGGAGCAGUAAAGGAGAAAAGAAUCCCACACCCUGGGAAGCCACCUGACCAAUGGAAAGAUCAGCCAAGUCGGAGGGAUCCCCAAGAUGCCAAGAAAAGCACAGCAGCAGGUCUGAGAACCAAAAAGCAGAGUGAGAGACACAGAUCAUCUGAACCACUGGCUCAGACACCACAGCCUGAGAUGCUCAGGUGGGGGCUGGGCACCGAGACUUAAGUUCUGUCAAUUUUCUACUGUACAGCAAGGUGACCCAGUUACACAUGCAUGUAUAUAUUCUUUUUUCUCACAUUAUCAUGCUCCAUCGUAAGUGACUAGAUAUAGUUCCCAGUGUUAUACAGCAGGAUCUCAUUGCUCAUCCAUUCCAAAGGCAAUAGCUUGCAGCUAUUAACCCCAAACUCCCAAUCCAUCCUACUCCCUCCCCCUCCCACAAGUCUGUUCUCCAAGUCCAUGUUUUUCUUUUCUGUGGAAAGGUUCCUUUGCGCCAUGUUUUAGAUUCCAGAUAUAAGUGGUAUCAUAUGGUAUUUGUCUUUCUCUUUCUGACUUACUUCACUUAGUAAGAGAGUCUCUAGUUCCAUCCAUGUGGCUUCAAAUGGCAUUCUUUUGUUCUUUUUUAUGGUUGAAGGAACAUCAUUCUUAGGAAGGGUUCCAUAGGUGCCACUAGACUGUCAAUAGGGCCCUUGACACUACAAAUGUUGUAAACCCCUUCAUGCCUUCCUCAGAGACUUGGCAAUCAGGAGUCUCUAGUCAGAAAUCUUCUCCUUGAGCAUCUUGUAGCAGCCAGAGCCAAUCUCCUCCAACAUGUCCUGAUGACAACAUUAAUAUUCCUCAAAUAUCAAGUAAAUAACUUUUCUUCCUGGUAGCCUUCCUAGGUUAAUCAAAGGAUAGCUGACACAUUUCCCAUCUUUUUGUUCAAGGCAUUCUUGUGACUGUUUUUCUGCAUUUCACUAGUUCCGUAGUUAGGGCAGGUUCUCAUCCCAAAGCCUCUCAUUUGGAUAGCUAGAACACUUAGGAGUUCCUGUUGCGGCUCAGCAGGUUAAGGACCCAAUGUAGUCUCCAUGAGGAUGGGAGUUCGAUUCUUGGCCUCCUCAGUCAGUUAAGGAUCUGGUGUUGCUGCAAGCUGCGGCAUAGGUCACAGAUGUGGUUCAGAUCCAGUAUUGCUGUGGCUGUGGCUUGGGCCUCAGCUGCAGCUCCGAUUUGACACCUGGUCCAGGAAUUUCCAUAUUUCAUUGGUGCAGCCAUAGCGGUAGAGAAGAAGAACACUUAGCUAAUUUAACAUUAUUUUUCUGUAGCCUUAUGGAAGCAUUGACACAUGAGUACACAGGCAUACUCGGGCUUUCUGGUGUCAAAAAAAAAGAAAAGUAGAGUGGCCAUACAACCCAGCAAUCCCAUUCCUGGGCAUAUAUCCAGACAAAACUGUAAUUCAAAAAGAUACAUGCACUCUUAUGCUCUUAGAAGCACUAUUUACCAUAGCCGAGACAUGGAAACAACAUAUGUGUCCAUUGACAGGUGAAUGGAUUAAGACAAUGUAGUACAUAUACACAGUGGAAUACUACUUGGCCAUAAAAAAGAACAAAAUAAUGCCAUUUGCAGCAACAUGGAUGGACCCAGAGAUUAUCAUAUUAAGUGAAGCAGCAAGAGAAAGACAAAUACCAUAUGAUAUCACUUAUAUGUGGAAUCUAAAAUAUGACACGAAUGAACUUAUAUAUGAAACAGAAACAGAUUCAUCAACAAUGUUGUAAUUCAACUAUACCUCCAUUAAAAAAUAAAAGAAAUAGAAAGACAUAGGAAAGUAAAUACAGUCAUCUCUAAUUCACCUACAUUCAUUUUCAAGUAAUACUAAAGGUAAAUAUCCCUGCUGAACAUUAGUAUAUAAUUUCUUUAUUCCCAAUUCUAACUAUCUAGUGUUUCAACCAAUAGUCUUGCAAAUUCUAUUUUUGCUAGUUGAUAUAUUCCCAGAUAUAGUAACUGAAAGGAGGAUUAAAGCAACAACAUUAGCCCAAGUACACUCCCCCGCAAACUUGUAUCUUAAGAAAAACCCACACCAGAGGCAUAAGGAAAAGGGUAGAUACUCCUAAAUCUGACCCUCCAUUGUGGAUUAGCCUGUGGGAACUCUGAUGCCAAAGAGAACAAGACCAGUUCACAAGGGUUUGCUGAAUAAGAAGUUUUAAUGCCAAGGUGAAACUACCCAUGGUCAAAUUACCACAAAAGGCAAAAUCUCUUGUAAAUCUGUUUUAUUUUUCUUUGGCAUGUAAAUUGUACGCAUUUGUGUCAACUGUAGUUAUAUACAUUAGGCACAGAGUAGAGAAAUAAAAUUUACAUAUUUUGAAGCACAC